CAAUACCAGGGAUUCGUUGUCUCGCCACUUCGAAGAAUGAAGAGGUGAACACAAAAUGAGCAGCAGGCAAAAGUAUAUUAGAUCUGAGGUCAGAAAGGAA